rnacentral:rRNA from 1 species
GACGAACGCUGGCGGCGUGCUUAACACAUGCAAGUCGAACGCAGAGCGAUGGAAGUUUGCUUCUAUCAAUCUUAGUGGAGAACGGGUGAGUAACGCGUAAUCAACCUGCCCUUCAGAGGGGGACAACAGUUGGAAACGACUGCUAAUACCGCAUACGAUCUAACCUCGGCAUCGAGGAUAGAUGAAAGGUGGUCUCUACAUGUAAGCUAUCACUGAAGGAGGGGAUUGCGUCUGAUUAGCUAGUUGGCGGGGUAACGGCCCACCAAGGCGAUGAUCAGUAGCCGGUCUGAGAGGAUGAACGGCCACAUUGGGACUGAGACACGGCCCAGACUCCUACGGGAGGCAGCGGUGGGGAAUCUUCCGCAAUGGACGAAAGUCUGACGGAGCAACGCCGCGUGAGUGAUGACGGCCUUCGGGUUUUAAAGCUCUGUUAAUCGGGACGAAAGGCCUUCUUGCGAAUAGUGAGAAGGAUGGACGGUACCUGAAUAGAAAGCCACGGCUAACUACGU